rnacentral:rRNA from 1 species
CUUAAUUUGACUCAACGCGGGAAAUCUCACCCGGCCCGGACACUGUAAGGAUUGACAGAUUGAGAGCUCUUUCUUGAUUCGGUGGGUGGUGGUGCAUGGCCGUUCUUAGUUGGUGGAGCGAUUUGUCUGGUUAGUUCCGAUAACGAACGAGACUCUAGCCUGCUAAAUAGUACGCCGAUCUUUAGUCGGCGCGUACUUCUUAGAGGGACAAGUAGUGGUUAACUACACGAAAUUGAGCAAUAA